UACGAAGGGGACUAGCGUUGUUCGGAUUUACUGGGCGUAAAGCGCGCGUAGGCGGAUCGCUAAGUCAGGGGUGAAAUGCCAAGGCUCAACCUUGGAACUGCCUUUGAUACUGACGAUCUGGAGAUUGGGAGAGGUGAGUGGAAUUCCGAGUGUAGAGGUGAAAUUCGUAGAUAUUCGGAGGAACACCAGAAGCGAAGGCGGCUCACUGGCCCAAUACUGACGCUGAGGCGCGAAAGCGUGGGGAGCGAACAGG
rnacentral:rRNA from 1 species